rnacentral:rRNA from 1 species
AGUGAACGCUGGCGGUAGGCCUAACACAUGCAAGUCGAACGGCAGCACAGUAAGAGCUUGCUCUUACGGGUGGCGAGUGGCGGACGGGUGAAGAAUACAUCGGAAUCUACUUUUUCGUGGGGGAUAACGUAGGGAAACUUACGCUAAUACCGCAUACGACCUACGGGUGAAAGCAGGGGAUCUUCGGACCUUGCGCGAUUGAAUGAGCCGAUGUCGGAUUAGCUAGUUGGCGGGGUAAAGGCCCACCAAGGCGACGAUCCGUAGCUGGUCUGAGAGGAUGAGCAGCCACACUGGAACUGAGACACGGUCCAGACUCCUACGGGAGGCAGCAGUGGGGAAUAUUGGACAAUGGGCGCAAGCCUGAUCCAGCCAUACCGCGUGGGUGAAGAAGGCCUUCGGGUUGUAAAGCCCUUUUGUUGGGAAAGAAAAGCAGCAGGUUAAUACCCCGCUGUUCUGACGGUACCCAAAGAAUAAGCACCGGCUAACUUCGUG